AGCAGCCGCGGUAAUUCCAGCUCCAAUAGCGUAUAUUAAAGUUGUUGCAGUUAAAAAGCUCGUAGUUGAAUUUCGAGAUCAAAUUGUUGGUCGUGCCUUGGUACGUACUGGCAUUAUUGGUUUCUCCCUUCUGAAGAACCAUGAUGUCAUUAAUUUGGUGUCUUGGGGAAUCAGGACUGUUACUUUGAAAAAAAUUGAGUGUUUAAAGCAGGCUCGCGCUUGAAUACAUUAGCAUGGAAUAAUGAAAUAGGACGUUUGAUUUCUAUUUUGUUGGUUUCUAGGAUUGACGUAAUGAUUAAUAGGGAUAGUUGGGGGCAUUAGUAUUCAAUUGUCAGA
rnacentral:rRNA from 1 species